rnacentral:rRNA from 1 species
UACGGAGGAUGCGAGCGUUAUCCGGAUUUAUUGGGUUUAAAGGGUGCGUAGGCGGAUCGUUAAGUCAGUGGUCAAAUUGAGGGGCUCAACCCCUUCCCGCCAUUGAAACUGGCGAUCUUGAGUGGAAGAGAAGUAUGCGGAAUGCGUGGUGUAGCGGUGAAAUGCAUAGAUAUCACGCAGAACCCCGAUUGCGAAGGCAGCAUGCCGGCUUCCUACUGACGCUGAAGCACGAAAGCGUGGGGAUCGGACAGG